CAUAAUCAAAGAAGAGCUAUUACAAUUUCCACGCACCAAAAAAGUUACCAAAUGAGAAUAAAAAUCUGACUGUAGAUCCAUCAGAUUUUGCAGAUCCACUAUCCCCUUCAAACCCCAUCGAUCUCCGAAAAAAACCCAUACAAAAACACCAGUUGUCGAUUCAAUCAUUCGAUCUAAAGUUUGUCGCCUCUUCUCUCUCCUCUUUUCGAUCAGGUUUGUUUGCAAAAGUAUAUUUGUUUGCAAAAGUUUGUUUUAAACUAUUUAAUUCUUUGAUGAGCGACUAUUAGUCUCUUAAUGUGGGACCGUUAAUUCCAUAUAGGAAUUUGAUAACUUAAAAUGUAGGGGAAUAUUAAUUUUACAUUUAUCAUGAGAUUAUAUAACCCCUCGUAAUCCUCCCUCAUGGGAUAAAAUAGUUCAAAGUAAAUAGCCUUACUAAAGGUAAAAAAUAGUCUAUGAGACUAUUUAAAGUAUUAUUAAUCUUUCCCUCAUGAGAUAAUAGUGUUAAAUUAAAACAAAUACUCAAAUAUCAAGCAUAUUUUUUACAAACAACCAUAACUUUUGUAUUUCUUCUAGUCGUAUGAUGGCUUGCUAUUGAUUGGGCGUUGUAGUGAUACCGAUGGGUUUUUUUGUUUCUUCAUAUAUAUCUUUCUUGUUUUUCAAAAUUUUGGAUUGGCGGAACGGAGGUGAUUCUUUAAUAGAUAUAAGGGUGAAGUUUAAGGUUUGAGUUAAGGUUGUAGGAUUUGGGUCAAAGUUGAUGAAUAUGGGUUUGUUAUCCUUAACUAGUAAGAGAUUUGCUUCAUCAAUGCAAAUAGAUUUUCAAAUCGUUGGAAGUAUGAAGGAGAACAAAUAUUUUGAUUUUAUAUAAGAAAUUGAUGAUAAAUGCAAGAAAACAUUGAGUGAGAAAGAUAAUAUUUAAGUUAUAAUUGAAGAAGAAGAAGGUUAAAAUUUUAUCGGGCAUAAAAAAGGGAAUUUGUAAUAUUGAAGAUGUUAUUUUUAUUCAAAAAAUAUAUAAUUUUUGGUCAUAUGUACUUUUGAAUGGUUUAAGAUUAUAUUUUCCUUUUAUCGAUUAAGAGGCAAUAAGAGGUAAAAUAAAAAUUUACCAAAUUACCAUAGUCUCUAACCAAAUCAGAUGUACAUCUAUUAAUAGGUAUUUAAAGGUAAUCAAACACCACCUUAGUCUUAUAAUUUGGAAUGGAAGGAGUAUAAUGAUCUUUAUUAAUUAUAUAGUUAAGACAGUUGCAUCAUGCAAAUUUUAAUUCAAGCAUAUAGAAAGAGAUAGAAGCAAUCUUUCAAAAAAUACAUUGAAUUGAAAGACUAAAAACAAUUGAUUUGAGUAAACGAGUGAGAGAUAGAGUAUGCGAUAGUGGAAGUCGAGAAGAACAGAACUAGAAGUAAUAUUUUGUUUAUUUGUUUACUUAUUUUUAACUUCCUAAAAGAGUUAGAUUCGACUCAUAACGUUGGAGUAAUAUUAUACUCCCUCCAUUCCUAUAUGUAGGUCGUUUUAGACUUUUUUUGUUAUUCUUAAUUAUUUGUCGUUUGUGGUUAUCUAGGAGAAUUGAUCACUAUUUUUUCCAAAUUGCCGCUUAUUACUCCACCUAAUUUUGUGAUCCAUAUUUAUCAUUAUCAUAUACUACUCCUCUACUCUUAAGUCUUUCUCUCCUUCUCCCAAUAAAACUCUUUCAUUAUGAGAUAAGUGAGGUGAAUGGUAUUAUAGACAAUUGAUAGUAUAGUUAAUGCUUUUCAAUCAUGUUCUUAAUUCUUGUGCACAUGUGUAAAACGACCUAUAUUAAGGAACGGAGUGAGUAGUGGAUAGAGUUGGUGAAAUGAUUUAGUUUUGAAUUGCUAUUAAGAAACGUGUUGGGCUGAGCUGGGCCACCCAUGAGUUAGGCUGCUUUGGGAAGUAUAAGCCCAAAUCUACUUUUAUAGAAAGUUUGGUCUGACCCGUGAGCUUAGUCCGCUUUAGACAGGUUUAACUAGGUUAAACUUAUUUAUGUGGUAAUCGUAUAUAUAGACCUAAACUGUUGUCUCGUGCAACUACAAACCCUAGAUUUCACAAUUUUUCAAAACUUCCUUGAAUCCUCUCUCAACCUACAGGUAUGUUUAUGGUCUGAAUACCUUUAUUUUUGUUAAAUGUCAUUUAAAAGUUUAUUCAUUUCUCUUCCUUGAUUUCUUACUGAAAUUCUAUUGAAUUUUUCUAUUUAAACCAUAAACCCUAAUAAAAUAGUUUUACAAUUUGUUAGAAUAAAUGUGAUUACUUAUAAUUUCAAUGAGUUUUGUUUAUGAAAAUCCGAUCAUUUUUUAGAAAGUUGAAAAUUGUUAUUUUUUUAUGCGAAUAUAAUCUUAGUUACUAAUUUUAAUUGGAUCGGAGAUCUUUUGAUUGCGAUUAAUAUAUAUUAUUUCUAUAUAAAGGAAAUGAGUGUACUAGUUAUACUUGCCAAUGAAAUUACUUUUAUCGCUCUGAAUUCGUGUUGUAUUUAGUAUAUUAUAGGUUGUAUAUUGAAAUUCAAGCAAUGUUUUGAAAAUUGGAUCGGAAUAGUUCAAUUGAACUGAGCACCGAUUCUACGUUCGGUCUUAUUUAUUCAUGUUAAAUCAAUUUGAUCAAAAUUCGAGUGAACUGGUUAACCAUCGAUUGAACUGGUGGUUCAAUGGGUAAAAUAGAUUAAUUUGACCAAUGAACUGAUUUUUAAUACCAAAAGUUUUUAAUUAUAAAAAUAAACAUUUUUAGUAAUAUUAUAAUACAACUUCUUUAUGAUCUUUCCUCGUUUAGAAACAUUGAAUUGAAAGUGUAACAUGUGUUGCACAAAAUAUUACAUUUAAUGAUGAAUGCUAAAAGAAUUAAUUUCAACAGCAAAAAGCAUCCAAAAAGAAGUGAAUUUUACGACAUAAUUGUAUGUAGUUUUUUUUUGUUAAGUUUGGUUUGCAUAGAUGAGACCAAAAUAUACAUUGGCAAAUGGGCAUAUCCCAGACUAUAGGUAGGUCAUCUCAAGACAUGCCAGGAGAGGAACUAACUAUAGUUGUGUAAAGAAACACAAUUUACAAUAUCCAGUUGCAAUAAUAAUUACAAAAAUUAGUAGUCGUAAUGAAGGAAUUUGACGAAGAAAGCCUAGAUUUAACAAUGUUAACCACUUUCUUUGCAAAAUUCGGAGCAGGUGUAAGAAUACCUUGAUGAAUUUUCCUAUCCUGAGCUUCCCAUGUUUUGUAGAAUGUUGUAGGCAUAGAUAGGUACAAUAUCGUUUUGGUAAGAUUACUUGGAAAUUCGUUACAAAAUCCAUGCCAAUCUGAAGGGAUGUUAAGCCAAUUUUCAAUACCAAAAACAGUUUGCAAAAUAACAAGAGAGUAUUAACAAUCAAAGAAUAGAUGCUCAAAACUUUCAUAGCAUUUUUGGCAUAGAGGACACAUGAUCUCUUUGCCUGAGCCAUAAUGCUUUGUGAUGUCAUUGGUAGGCAAUCUUCUCAAAAACCCAACUAUAGUGGGAAUGAAUACCUCGAAACAUGCAGGUUAUGCCAAAGGACUUGUAUGUAGUUUUUUUGUUUGUCUAAACUUAGCAAAAUCAACUUUGGUUGUAUCCAGAAUGCUGAAAAUGUUAAAACUUUUGAUCUAUUUUUCAAAAAUUGAUAUUCAAAAAUCCAUAUAUUCCACAAAAGAGUUAUAUUUAUUUUUAUAAUACUUAAUUCCUGAAAUUUUAAAUAGUCAAAUCAUAAUAUGCAUAUAUUUUAAAUAUAAAAUAGUACUUUAUACUUAAUAAUAUUUUAAAAUUUGUAAAUUGAGUAGAAAAAACACUUUUUUUUUGUUUGUGGAAAGGAGUAUGUCAUAAUAUUUUUGUAUUAGUUUUCGGUUAUUUUUUUAGGUUGUGGCUGCAAUUUUUUUGUCGAUUUGUCGUGAUCUUAUUUUUAUUGGAUUCAAAUAUAAUGUCACCAUAAUUAAGAAAUAAUUUAAUACCACCGUUAAAAAGGAAGAUGAAAAUUAAAUCAAAAUCUUAGCACAUAUGCUUCAUACAAUUGACGCAAAAUCCUUUAACUGCACAACAAACCGGUGCCUGAAAUUCUCAAAACCCUAAUUUCAAUCCCAAAAACAUUAAUCUGCAUAAUAUAGUAUAUUGUCACAAUUACACUAGAAAAGUUGAAGAAGAAAGCAAAAAGGAUCAAAAGAAAAUUUCAUAGAUUUUUCGAUAAAAACUUUUACAUCACUCCGGCUGAUAUUUUAUUCAGCUACUCUAACAACUCACAUACUUUUUCUAACAACCUUUACCAAAUUGAAAGCCACGUGUCUAUUGCUAAUUCUGAAAUAACACAACUUUUAAUUGAAACGCUGCGUUUUUGGGAAGUUUGAUAUAUGCUGUGUUUGGCCACUGAUUCGUUAACGGUUAUAUCUUCUCCUCCCCUUCCUUCCAUUUUUGACAAUUACCCAUUGCUUGAAGAGAUCCUUGACCCCAAGGAUCAAAGUCUGGAUAUUGCUGCUCCACUCCUCUCAUGUCGCAUCUUCAGGAAUUCUAUGAGACCAUUGGACUAAAACCAUGAUUUGCAGGUCGCUGGCCUUUCUUUAUCAAUCGCCUAUCCAAAAUGGCUACAGGUAAUGGUCUUAAUUCUUUUGCAUUGUCUGUUUGCGGAAGCUCGGUUUGAACCACCUUAGUCUCCCUAAUUUUCUUUUUUAACUAUGAGACAUGAAAAACAUUGUGUAUUUUGGCAUUGGAGGGAAGUUGUAAUUUGUAAGCCACCUUCCCGAUCCUUUGGAUCACAAUAAUACUUUGCCGAUAGCUUGAAAUUUCUUCUCUGUUAAAUUGACAUUUGCCGAUAGGGUUUUAAUUUCAAAUACUCCUCAUCUCUUUCGUUAAACUCUCUUUCAGUUAUUUUCUUGUCUGUAUAUAGCUUUAUUCUGUCUUGAGGUUUAUGCGAAUUGUCCUUUAAUAGUUGUUGGGUUGCCUUCCUUUCUUUCAAAAAAUCAGCCAUCAUGCCUGGUGAUAAUUGACAACAGGUGGGUUAAUGCCAUAAAGGGCCUUAUAGGGGGUCAUCCCAGUGGCUGUGUGGAAUGAAGUGUUGUACCACCAUUCUGCCAUAGGUAACCACUUACUCCAUUGUGCAGGCUUAGUACUGGUCAUACAUCUCAAUACAUUGAUUAACCCUCUCAGUUUGGCUAUCUGUUUGGGGGUGGUAGGGUGGACUUGGCUUAAUUUGGGUUCCCAAGGUCCUGAACAGUUGUUUCCAAAAGCUGCUCACAAAUAUCUUAUCCAUAUCCGAAUAAUAGUUUUAGGGGGACCAUUUGUGCUACUUGGGUUGUUGUAAAUGGACGUGUGAGCGCCAUAAGAUGACAUCCUUUCGCGAGCUUGUCAACCACCACCACCACCACCAAAAUUGUAUCUUUGCCAUUCCUUCCACAAAAUCUAUAGUUAUUACUUCCCAUGCUUGGUUAGGAAUGGGUAUAGGCUGCAGGAGUCCAAGACUUGGAACAUGUUCUCCUUUACUUCUCUGGCACACCUCAUAAUUUGCAAUCAAUUCUGUCAAAUCCUUCUUUAAUGUAAUCCAAUAAAAUAAUAGCUCAGCUCUCUUGACUGAAGCUGUGACACCUGAAUGCCUUCCUUUAGAACUGCUAUGAACCUGUUCCAUGACCUUUUUCCUCAGUUCUCCCGCUGCCCAAAUAAAUCUUGCCAUCCUUUCUGAGGAUUCCUUCCUGAACCUUGUAGUUAGGACAACUAGUGGAGUCUAUCGGUAUACGAGCCAUUGGCUCUUGUGCUUCUUUAUCACCCACUAGACUUUCAGCAACUUCAGUACUCCAACUAGGAAUAACUGAUUGUAUCACUACACAACUGCCUUCCCAUUCAUGUUGUCUAGAUAAUGCAUCUACUACUAGAUUAUCCUUGCCUUUCUUAUAUUGUAUGACAUAGUCAAAGCCCAACAUUUUUAAAAUCCAUUUUUGUUGCACCAAAGUGGUUAACUUCUGUUCCAUGAAGUAUUUCAGUGCUUCAUAGUCAGUUUUUAUAAUGAAUCGUUAUCCUAACAAGUAUGUUCUCCACUUCUGCACUACCAUAAUAAUAGCUAACAACUCUUUUUCAUAAGUUGAGAGACCCAAGUGUUUUGCAGACAAAGCCUUACUUAAAAGGCUAAUGGUCUAUCUUUCUGCAUUAAUACUGCCCCCACACCUGUAUGACAAGCAUCUGUUUCAAUUAAAAAUGCUUUAGAGAAAUCAGGUAGUGCCAGAACUGGAGUAUUUGAUAAGGCUUCUUUAAGUUUCUGAAAUGCUUGUUCAGCUUCUUCACUCCAAUGAAAUGCCCCUUUCCUUAACAAAUUAGUCAAUGGUUUGCUGAUAGUUCCAUAAUGUUGCACAAAUCUCCUAUAGUAGCAUGUGAGACCUAGGAAUCCGCUUAGCGACUUUAAUGAUUUAGGCCUGGACCAUUGCAUCAUAGCUUCCACUUUGCUCUUAUUAGCAGUCACCCCUUGCUCAUGAUAACAUGUCCCAAGUAGUAUCUUCACUUGUGGUUGUGCAAAGGUAGGUGCAUUUGGCCUUCUUAACACAGAAUUUGUUAUGCCUUUAAACUUCAAAUACUUGUUGUAAAUUAUUUUUAUGACUUUCUAAUGAAGGGCUAUAUAUCAAAAUGUCAUCAAAGAAAAUCAGUACAAACUUCCUUAGAUAUGGGCCAAAUACCUCAUUCAUUAGGUGCCAGGUGCAUUGGUCAAGCCAAAGGGCAUGACAAGGAAUUCAUAGUGUCCUUGGUGAGUCUUGAAGGUUGUUUUCUGGGUAUCUUCAACUUUUACCCUAAUUUGGUGAUAACCACUCCUUAGUUCUAGCUUAGUAAAGAACUUGCUUACUUUCAGCUCAUCCAAUAGUUCUUCUAUAAGAUGGAUAGGAAACCUUGUUUUUGACAGUUAUGCUAUUCAAAGCCCUGUAGUCAACAUAAAAUCUCCAAGAAUUGUCUUUCUUUUUAACUAACAAUACUGGAAGCGUAGGGAGAAGUGUUGUGCUCGAUAAUUCCACUGUUAAGCAUCUCGUUGACCAUCUUUUUAAUUUCAGUCUUCUGUAUGUAAGGGUACUUGUAGGGAUUUGUAUUAACAGGAUUGCAGCCAGGCAUGAUUGGUAUGUGGUGAUCUUGCCAUCUUAAAGGGGGUAACCCUUGGGGUUCUUGGAAGAUGUCACUAUAAGUUGAUACCAACUGUUCUACCACUUCUAGAACUUGAUCAUCUGUUUCUCGGACCCCUUCCACUGCUGUUAACUGAACCAAAAAAUAAGUCUCUUCCUUGGUUUCCACUUAAACUUAUUUGUUGUUUGCACUGUGUAGAAUUGUCAUGUAUCCUCUUGAUCUCCUAAUACUACCUUUUUUCCCUUUCAAUGUAUGAUGACUUCUCUUUUUCCAUAAUCAAGACUCACAAUUUGCAUCCACUGAACCUCUAGUACUGCAUCAUAUCCUCCUAAAGGAAUAACAUACAUAUGGCCUUGGAACUCACCUUGGGCCAAUUUCCACUUAAAUUGGCUGAUCCUUCUAUCACACCUUAUGCACUCACCAUUGGCAACUGUGAUCUUAAUUGGAGGGCAUGGCUCAAUAGAUAAUUGAAGUUCCUUGACCAAGGCUUGUGAGACAAAAUUAUGUGUGGAUCCACUGUCCAGUAACAUGUUUAUGUACCUGUUUUUAGUUUGGCCCUGCAGUUUGAUAGUGUGAACUCCAUGAGCUGUGAUGGCAUGAAAUGAAACUUCACAAUCAUCCUCAAUUUGCACCUCAAUCUGCAGUAUUUCUCCCUCUUCUCCUUGUGUAAUAAUUGCUAACUCCGGUUCUGUUUCUUCUGGAAGUACUGUUUCUUCUUCAUCAGUCAUCAUAAGGUAAAUGUGUUUUUGUUUACAUUUGUGCCCUUGUGUACACUUCAUCACAACUGUAGCAUGAGCCCUUAUUCCUCCUUUCUGCCAUUUCUGAUGUAUUUAAUCUCUUAAUUGGAAAAGAUUUCUGGCCUGCCCCCAUCCUAGCUGGCUGGAAUGCUUCCUUGUGCAUAGCAGAGUUUGGUUUGCCCCUUUGCAUUUGACUGUUUCCCCCAAUUUUGGAUGUGCCCUGAGUCCUUCUGUCUAGGGAUUCUAGAAAAACUUCUUGUCUCCUAGGUUGAUUAAUGGCUUCCCUAAGAGAUUGUAGUCUCACCAGGUACAAGGCAUUGGCAAUCUCAUCCUUUAAGCCACUAAGAGCAUUAACAACAGUUUUCCUAAUCAACUCUCUAUCCCCAAUUUUGAAGAAUACAUCAACAAAUCAUUAUUCAACAGUUUCCUUAUCCUUAUUUGACUUUUUAUUUUAAUCCCUAUAUAGGAUUUUACUCACAUUAGUCAAAAGAUCGUUCUCUAUAUAUACAAAAUGACAUUUCACACCCUCAUUUAAGUGGACAACUCAUCAAUCAUACACAUCUUGACAUUUUUUUACUACUUCAUUUUCAAAUUAUAAACUUAAUAUUUACUUAUUUUUUAAAAAUUAAUUUCAAACGUAUUCAAAUUUAAAAUUAAUAUAAAUUUAUUUAAUUUAUGUCAAUAUAAUUAUAAAUAUUAUAAAAGUACUAUUAAUUAUAAAAUUUAUUAUUUUCAAAAUUUAAAUGAAUCAUAUUAAAUUUAAAUUUAAAAAUAUCACAAAUUAAUUUUUUAAAAGUUAAUAUUGGUCUUAUGUACAUUUGCAUCUACAAUCCAUUCAAUACUCACUCCAUAAAUUACUUCAAAUUUAAAAUAAAAUAAAAAUUAUUUUACACUAGAAUAUAAUUGAUAAAUUUACUCUCUUUUUUAUAAAUUAGAAUAUUAUUAUUAAUUUGAUGAUUUGACUGUUAGAACUUUUAAAUUUUAAAUUUCAUUAUUUAAGGAAUUAAUAUAAGGAACCUGUUGGGUACAUAGUGAAAAAGUUGAAUUCCUAUUUUGCAUAAUGACCCAAUACCACUACAGAGUAGGGAUAAAGAUAAGGCCACUAUUGUGAAUACUCUAAGGAAGCUUUCAAUAAAAUAUUGCUCAGUAUUUCCCUUAUUUUGGGACAGCAUGUAUGUUUUCAGCUUCCUUAUGUAAUCAUCUACUUUCCCUCUUAACCGAGGUUUUUCAUCUUGCAGGGAUUGAUACCAGAUAUCAGCCUCUCCCUCUAAAUAAAGAGCAGCAUACAAUACCUUGGAUCUAGGAUCUAACAUGGCAUUAAGUUGAAAGAAUUUCUCACACGUCUUUAGCCAUUCUCUUGGAUCUCUACCUUCAAAGUGUGGAAAGUCCAUUUUUUGGUAUGGGAAAGUGUAGGAAAAGGCUGGUAGUUUGUCUGGAAUGGGUUCCUUCUAUAGGGUGGCACCAGGGAUGGGUUCCAUUUAAAGGAGGGGGGUAAUUAUUGACCUAAUGUGUUGGUGUUGUAUUAGGAACUUGUGUGAAACUGGAGGAAGUGUAUGGAGGAAUUGCAGAGGUGUUCUGCAUACUGAAGUUGGGUUGACCAUAGCUGGUAGCGUAAAUUGGUAGUGGUUGUGUUGAGGGGCUGUAGGCCAUAUUGUGAAUGGAAGAGUUCUGGUGGUUUGAACAAGCAUAAGUUGGAGUAGUGGUUCCUAUAUUACCAGGUGCCUCUAAUUGGGGAAGCCAACUUAGCAUAGGAAUGUUAGAUGGUGGGGGUCGGAUUGUAUAAGAGCUAGUCAAAGUCACAGCAGGAAUUCUAACUGAUGGUUCAAGUACUGAAACUAUGGAGGAAGGUUGUGUACAUGGGAUGGAAGCUGCAUAGUGGGUGUUCUGCAUACUAGCACCUGGUCUAAGAUUGUGAUUUAAGGCUGGUGAACAGAUGUUGGUAGUAGUAAGGAAGGUUGUUGCUGUACCAAAUUGCAGUGGUGUUGCGAAAGUUGUUGUUGUGGGUGCUGGUAGCGAUGGCUCAACAGCAAUAGUUGAUGUGGCUGAACCGGAAGUGAGUGGGUGGAUCUCAGCUGCUGCAAACUUCUCCUUCUCUCACUGGUGGCUUGCAGCCUCUGAUUGAUUUGGGAGAUUUGGUCUUCCAUUACUCCCAUCUGUGUCGAUGUCUGCUCAAGGUUCUUAGCCAUCAGUUCUUGCAUCUGUUCCAUCCUUCUAAGGCUUUGAGCUCCUUCUCGUGCUUAUAAAGGCUUAUUUUAGCAGAAGCGUCGGCCGUGGUUGGCCCAGGAGCUGUUCUGAUACCACUUUGUCACGAUUACACUAGAAAAAUUGAAGAAGAAAGCAAAAAGGAUCAAAAGGAAAUUUCAUAAUUUUUUGGAUAAAAACUUUUACAUCACUCCGACUGAUAUUUUAUUCAGCUGCUCUAACUACUCACAUGCUUUUUCUAACAACCCUUACCAAAUUGAAAGACACGUGUCUAUUGCUAAUUCUGAAAUAACACAACUUUUAAUUGAAACGCUGCGUUUUUGGCAAUUUUGAUAAAUGCUGUGUUUGGCCACUGUUUCAUUAACGGCUAUAUUUUCUCCUACCCUGCCUUCCAUUCUUGACAUAUAUAUCUAUUUCUUCAAACUGCGCUGCUAAUAAUCACAGUGCCCCUCCUCUAUGUAUUAAUUAAAUGUGCGAUGAAUUCUCUACAGAACUAUGUCUGGCAGACCAGAGAAACGGAGAAAGGAGAUUCAUACAUGUAGUAGUGCCGGUAGCAGCAGGGGGAACGAAGUCGUUGCACUGACUUUUCCGACAGACUCGAGUUCUCGUCUUCGGUUGAACCCUAACACCGAUCACAAGCCACCUUGCUAUGAAAAUACGGAAUCGAAGUGCAAUACUCUGCUUUUCAGCUCUCUGGAGAGGCAUUUACCUCCGAUCAUGUUAAACUUUGGUCGUGACACUAAAAUUCAGUACAUGCGGGAUAUUCUUCUUCGAUAUUUACCCGAAAGCGAAUACAUUCGAGUGAGUACAUAAACUGAAAAUAUUUUAUCCUUUCUGUUAGUGAUCGUAGUUAGGGAUGGGAUAUUUGCAUACCAGAAAAGCUAAGGUAAGUGAACACAAAAAUUGAAAUUUGAAAUUCUAUGGUUUGUGAUGUUUAGGCUUGCCAAAUGUAGGAAAAUAACUCUACAUGAUUGAAUUGAAUGUUUCUAGUUUAUGAUGAAUUCAUGUUUGUUUGUUUAGUCGGCAGGGAGGAUUAGGAAUGUGAAAUAUAAUUACAAUUUUAAUUGAGACUUUAUGUCAACUAUAGGGUUGGGGUUGGCAUGCAGAGAAAUUAAAUAAGUAAAUGUGUUGGGCAAGCUUGAGAAAUUUAAAAGUUAGGAUGUUUGGUUUGCAACUCUGUUCUUUGUUUUGGCUUUCCAUUUCCAGUUUCUGUUCUUUAAAUUUCUUGAAAUGAUCACAUGUUUGGAUAUCAUUUUGGAAAUAUUCUUGAGGAAAAAAUUAAUUGUUUUUACCAUCCAUCCCAUAAAGAUGUUUUAAGUACACUUUUAAUAUAAUUUAAGAAAAAUAAAAGUAGAGGGAAAGUAUAAAUAAGUUCUUAUUUACCCAUAAUGAACCCCACAUAAGUACACUAAAGAUUCUUUCUUUCUCUCCCCUAAAAGUAAUGGACCCUAUUUAAUUACUUUGGCCGGUAAAAUAGACUUUACAUUCCAUUCUAAUGAAGUAUUUUUUAGGGUAAAAUAGAUUUAUAUAACAUUUUACAUUUGAAUUGUGUACUUUUUAGACAUAUUUUAUGGGUCAAUAUUUUUAUUUUUUUGUACUUCAGUCAUCUUUUGUGGGACAGCCCUGGGUACUUAUAGUGCAUACUAAUAUCUACUAUAGCAAGUUUUAGUAUGUUUUUGGAUUGUUUAACUGCCUUACAUGCUUUUACAUUCUGAAAACGUCCGAAAGCAUGUUUUCAUGAAAGGGCAAAACGUGGAAAUGGUGUCCAAACAAAUUCUAAAAAUAAAUAAAUAAGAAAGUGUAAAAAUUAAAAGAGUUCAAAAUACAGUUCAAACAAGCCUAAUUUAUGUGAGAGAAUUAUUUUAUUGGUAGUAACACAAGGAUUAAGUUUUAUGUAGUGUUUGACUGGUUGCUAAAUUGUAUGGAUUUAUUACCACAUUGAAAUCUAUAAUGGAGCUUAAAACUCCAGUAUUAGUUGUGUGCACAUUUCAGUGAUAGGAUACAUUUUUUAAAAAUAGUAAUAAAUUUUAUUAGUAUGAAGCUUACGACACACUUCCCUCUCAUUUUAUUGAGUCUGUUGUUGAGCUCUUACCAAUACCAGUGUUUGAAUUUUGGAUUUUUUAAAAUUUUGGAUACUGAUUACUGAGAAAGCAGAGAAAAGUGGGAAUAAGAUUGACUUUCUGAAGCUUUUAUUUUGUGUUGUUUUGGGGGCCAGAGAGAUAAGAAACCACUUCAAUUAAGUUAAGCAACUUAGAUUACAACAUUUGUUUCUCUUGAGCUAAACAGAGCAUGUGUAAUUUGUCUGGCAUAACUUUAUUAUACUGUACGUCAUCUGACCAAACAAAUUUUAAGACUUCUCUACUACUUUUUGACAGGUCCAGAAGCAUAGAGAAUACAGGCAGAAAAUAAUAUCCAACUAUCAGGUAUAAUUUAUGCUGAAAUUUUGUUCAGGAGUUAUUUCUUUUUUCUUUUUCUUUUCUAAUACUGUAUCACAUCUUUUAAUGAGUACAAGUAAAAUAUUCAAAGAGGCACUAAUGGGGUGCCACCCAUGUACAUCGGAACCACAAAGAAAAGGAAAACAUUGCGCCACCCAAACAAAACUGCAACAUUUGUUGAAGCUGUAUUACUAUAUAUCUCUUUACACAAAGUUUGUUUAUCAAAAUAAACGAGUUUAAGCAAAGGGAGAAUGAGAGUGUGCGUGUGAUCUAUGGUUGAUGAUACAGAUCUAAAUAUUUGCAAUUUAUGGUUGAUUAAUCAGGACAACUAGUAAAUACUAGUGAAUAUAUACCUUUGUUUAUACACAAACAGUCCAAUUAUUGGCUAUAUCAUUGUACAAUAUAAAGAAUUGCUUGCACUUUUUUAUGUAGAGAUUGGAGGGCUGCACUUUUUUAAGUGUUUUUUUGUUUUUGAUCUUUUAGGCUGCUGAGGGUGGACUUCUUGUCCCCCAUUUAUGGUAUCAUUUCUUCUCUAGUAAUAAAAUUUCUUCUUUUAUCAAUAUAUAUAUAUAUAUAUAAGGAAUUGUUUGCUUUUCAUGGUCGGCAGUUUUACACCCGGCAUCGUAUAGACAUUCACAAGGGAUGUUGUCGUAAAGAUGAGAUUCGACUAUAUUGGAAUAUGGGAUUUUCAAAAGCAUAAUGAUUAUGGGUGUCAUAUACUUACUUCAUUUUUCCCUACUUAGCAGUAACUCAAAAUUAAAUCACCAUUAUUUUUGUUUUCUACCUUAUAUACUGCUUCCUUCUUUUUUCAGCCUCUGCAUAGGGAGCUAUAUGACAUGCACCCUACAAACUUCUUUGUCCCUUCUUUGCUCAAGGCAGUCAAUGAGAACAACGAGGAGAGUUUUAGAAAUAUAAUCUGUGAACCUUUUCCAGGACUUUUAACAUUUGAAAUGCUGCAGCCACGUUUCUGUGAAAUGCUUCUUGCUGAGGUAUUAUCUAGCCUUUGCUCUGUCUUCUGGCAUGCUAUGUCAGUUUUCCUUGUAGUUUAGCUUUUAUGUUUUCUUAUCACAUUCUGAUUGCUUCGGGUAGGAAAUUUUCAAAAUUGGGUCUGCAAGACAAAAAUCAGCAUAAUGCGACCAAAUACAUUGAAUAAAUAUGGUACUGUUCUUGAUGACUUUGGCAUGGAAACAAUGCUUGACAAGUUAAUGGAAGACUUCAUGAAGCCUCUAGCUAAAGGUUAAUGUAUUUCUGUUCAUAAAUAUAACAUUUUAGCAGUACCAGAAUAAAUAGGCAUAUAAACUGGGUGACAGAGCUCAAUAAUGGGCAUUUACCCUCUUAAUCUUAUCUCUAUUAUUCUGAUUUUAGUUCAAUGCAGUCUUCUUUCCUGACGUUGGUGGAUCAACACUUGAUUCUCAUCAUGGUUUCGUGGUUGAAUAUGGAAUGGAUAGAGAUGUUGACCUUGGUGGGCGAUCACUUCAACCUUUCAUUUCCCUUAUUUUGUCCUUGUUUGGUGUUUAAUCUACGCUUGUAAAUAAUUAGAACUUCACAACAUUUUUCAAUGGCAGUGGAAAAUAAUGAAAGGAAGGCACGUGAUUAAUAGUUCGUGGAUAGAAAUAACAUAAUGUAGUUGAGGUUCCUACAAUCAAACUCUCUUUUAAUUAAUUAAAAAUUAUUAUUGUUGAUUAUUCACCAUAAUGAAAAACUUGAGAUAACAAAAAAUCAUCAAGUUUCUUUUCUGAUAUCUUAAUUUCAGCUAUCGGGUAUCCACUAGUAAUCGACUCUUUAGACAAAAGGAUAGGAAAUGACAUAUUUGUUCAAUAGAGAGACUAUUUUAGCAUAGGAUAUGGAAAAGGCAUGGGGGUUUCCUAUUACACAAUUUAUAGUUUAUGUUUUUUUUUUCUCCUGAUGGUUUUAGAUACGUAGAUUUAUAACAAGAUUAAUCUAUUAGUCCAAUCCUUAUAUCUACUAUUCCAAAGAAAGAGAUAGCUUACCAGUGUAUAUGAUUAUGAUAUGAGAAAUCUCAACAAGUUCACAUUGCCAGGUUUCCACGUGGAUGACUCAGAAGUCACUUUGAAUGUCUGCUUGGGUGAGCAAUUUUCUGGUGGUGAACUUUUCUUCCGAGGUGUGCGGUGUGAUAAACAUGUAGAUGCACAGCCUAUACCGGAGGUAUGUGGGCCUUUAAGAUAAUUUUUUCCCGACUGAAGUUGAUUUCAAGAGUUUCAAUAGAUUGUUCUAAUGAAAUAAUCCACCGAAAAUAGAUUUAAAUUCAAAUGUGACUAAAAGAAAGAGAGAAAAAAAGGGAUUGGGAUUUGAACUCACAUCAUGGGGUGGAUUUAUAUUAAGCCUAGUGGAUAAGCUUUUCUGUAUAUAACUGUUGAUCCUUUAACUUCAGAUAAACCAAAUAUAUACUAAUAGCUAGUAUAAUAGAGACCCAAUUCACCCAAUUUCCUACAAAAUAGCAAAAGUCUGAUUAGUGUUUGUAUUUUUCACAUAAAACACCCACUAACUAGCAUUUAGACUCUGGCUCUGUGCAACCACUGCCACCAAGUCACUAACUACCUAACUGAUAUCAUAAGCCACUGUUACCAACUUUUCCCCCUAAAUAUAGGUCUAUUUUUAAUUACCAACUACAAUUAAUAAUAUAAAAAAAUUAAGGACCAAGUAUAAGAUAAAACAAGAAACCAAUUACGUAACACUCCAUCCCGUUCAUAAUCUUGCUCUGAUGUUUGAGUUGUAAUAUAAUUUCAACGAACCUGGAUGGCGGAUCCCGUACCUUCCUGGCCUCUUUUUUCUUUUUAUGCACUAUCAAUAGAUUUUUCAUGAACUGCUAAAAUUUCAAUCAAUAGAUUUUCUACAUAUUGUUUACAUGAAUAGCUUCUUGAUCUUUUUUCAUAUAGACAUCAAAAUGACCAAAGUUCAUGUUAUGACUAGUUGUAUAGAUCGAUUCUUGGAAGGCAUUAGAUUGAGGGAAGAGAUUCGUUUUAUUAUCUAACUUCACUUAUUCCUUCAUGCUUGUAUUCUUAUUUUUUUCUAAGUUUGAGGUCUAUUAACCAUAAUUGAUCCUUUGAUAAUCUUUUUUUCCUAACUGUUGAACUCAUCUCAGAAUCAUUGAGUUUCUGAAAGAAUUAAGUUUUAUAUUUUCUGAGAACGUUGUUAUCCCAUAAUCAUUUUGUUUACACUGGUUGUGCUUCGAUUUGUAAACCUGUCCGCAGUCAGGUCAGGAAUUAAUGCCUGGAGGCAUUUUUUUAUUUGAAUUUGAUGUGUUUAUCUAAUAAAGUAUAUUUACACUAUGUACAUACACCAUAGAUAUAUAUAAACAUACAUAAGCGGAAAAAUAGCGAAAGAUGAAUGGUAAGACAAUAAGACAGCCACUAACUCGCUUUCUAGCUUUUUGACCCGUUACAACCACUUUAUUAUAACUGGGGAAUGUGAUCUUUUGAAUUUUUCUAGGUCCAAAAAUAUUCUUCCCUCCAAAUUGCAGAGGAAUCUGAUCCUUUUGACUUAUUUCUACCUUAAAUGCUUCCUUUUGUAUUUCUAAACUGAUGGUGGUGAAAUACCAAAGAUAAACCAGUGUUUUUGUAGAUGUUCACAUGCUACCUCUCUGACCUUUAAACUUGAAGUACUUUUCUUCCUUUUUUUUGCAUGUUACAAUAAUGUUUCUGUUAUCCUGCUGAAUCCUGAAAACGAUCAAAAUAACUUUUCCACUUUUAAUUUUAUCAUAUUUUAUUAAAUAUAAUAUGGUUCAAAGCUUUAAUAUAAAAAAGGGAAGAAGAGCAUAUUGUGUAAUAGAGAUGUCAAAAAUUGUCCUACUGAUGUGUCUGCAAUGCAGCUCGAUUUCUGUCGAGCUAUAGCAUAAACAUAAUUCUUUUGUACCGUUAUGAUUGUUGGUUGAAGACUUAUCUGGAGUUUGUAUGCUCAUAGGAGAUAGAGGAUUACCAUCAUGUCCCGGGAUGUGCUAUUGUUCAUCGUGGUCGCCAUCGCCAUGGUGCUAGAGCCACCUUAUCUGGGCAUAGACUAAAUUUGGUUUUAUGGUGCAGAAGGUACCCAAGUCCUUAGACCUUGCUUCUCCUAUUUCUGCUUCUUGUUUGAGUUGUGGCAUCUACUUUGGCAUGAAAUAGAAACAGCACAAUAAAGAAAAGAUUAUGAUAUAAUACCAACAUCUCAUGUCUACAUUAUAUUGCUGACCUAGUACAAACAAAUAUAUAUGUAGCUUAAUGGUAUUUGACAUUUUACUUGUACAAAAUUAUGUAUUACUGACCUCUUCUGAGAUUAUCAGCAUCAAUAUCCUCAUGUAUGCUGAAAAGUUCUCUGUUUCAAAAUCAUACAAGUAAAUAUUUAUUCCCAUUCUCAACCUCAGUAUUUUAAUGGCUGUGUGGAAUUUCUAUUUACUUCCAAAAUGGAACUGUUCUUAUAGGGUAGAUCAGCAAGAAAUCUCUAGAAGGAGAUGUAUGAUAUUUACCUUACCAUUUAAUUUUUAUAUUCAUGUAUAUAGUGGGGACCACUUAUAGAUAUUCUACACAAUUGGAUUUAGAGGUUGAGGACGUUUUUCUAAUUACUCCCGUCUUAGUGAAGAACAAUAUAGUCAAGGUAUGCAUGUAAAGCAUUGAUGUAUAUAUAUGUGUGUGUGUAUAACAGUCUGAGAUUAUUUAGGACAACAUCUAGAAGUAUUUAAAGAAGGGGAAAUGAAGAGAAGAAACCUGUCAUCCAAAGGAUUUGGGCAUUAUGAGAUUUACCAAACUAAAAGGCUAAACUUUAAAGAGGUAGACAGGGUGAACCAGCAUAUGGGACAAAGUACCUUGUCAUAGUCCACGUCAAGAAAGGGGGAANNNNNNNNNNNNNNNNNNNNNNNNNNNNNNNNNNNNNNNNNNNNNNNNNNNNNNNNNNNNNNNNNNNNNNNNNNNNNNNNNNNNNNNNNNNNNNNNNNNNUUUACUUUUUUUAAAAAAAACGACAUUAAUUGAUAACGUUGUUGUCGAACUCAAGUGUCAGCCAGUAGUAUAAACUAUUACCUUGGAGUGCAUAACGAGUUUUUGAUUGUUUUAUGAAUUAGACAUGGCUGAUUAUGUGGUGGAAUGAUAGGGAAGCUAAAAUUAUUGAUUUUAUAUUCUUUUAUAUAUGACUUCUUAUUUGAACGAGUGUUUUCUUUUAAAAUUUAUCCUGCUGCAAAACUUACCAUUAGGUUAACAGUUGUUGUGUUGCAAUAUUUGCAUCAACCCCUCUCCCUCUCCCUCUCCCCCUUCGUAUAAAUAUAGUGAUUUGUAAAACUGAUUGCACUGAGGGUUAUAAAAGGGGUUCUGUUAAUUUGGUUUGAAGAUGCUGAAUAUCAUGUAAAUUAAAAAAACUCAAAAGUUUCUUAUGUGCGAAUUUCGAUUGACCCGUUCUCCUUUAAAAUAUUCACUACCCCCCCAUCUGCUAAAUGGUAUUUGAAGGGUUUUUUUUUUGAAACUGUUCAAACAUACUAUGAAAUUGUUGAAAUAAAUAAUUAUUAUUGUUAAAAUAAAUAAUUAUUAUCAUUAAACCUACGAAUCUUGGUGGGGGUGGAACUUUCUCCCUCAUGUGGCUUGUUUAGUGGAAAAUUCAAGAUCAAGUGACUUGUACAGUGCUAUUAUUAUCUUUUUGUGUGGGGAAGUUCAUUUAUAUCCCCAGUCCCAGGCUUUGUGAGAUUUGGGUGCGAGUCAAUGACAUUACCCGAAGCUCUGGUAGAGAGUAUCAAGAGGACUUGGUUCAAGUCCACACCAUGCAUUUAUACAUUAAUGCAAUAGGACAUUCUUGUCAAUGGUACAUGUUCUGGAGAGAUAACGAGUCUUGACUUUUUUUUGGUUUGGUUUUUUGAGGGGAUGAGUGGUUACUGUUUUAAACUCUUAACAUACACAUACACAUACACACGUGUGUGUGUGUGUGUGUGUAUAUAUAUAUAUAUAUAUAUAUAUAUAUUAUUUUCCUCUUUAUUCUUUCUUCCUGUUUUACUAUUAGAAAUUCCUUCCCUAUGACAACAUGUUUUUUGUUACAUGUAUUCUUUUGUUGUUUUGAUGUAUGUGCAAUGAAUUGGUUGCUUACAUUUAAUAUUUGGAAACCCAAUAAUAAAUCUUUUAAUUACUAGUUCAGUGUUGUACAAUGGAUAAAAAAACCAACUUGCUAGACAUUCAGUAUUGCGAAGCUUCAUAAAAUUCUUCUCUGUGGGAAAGACAAGGUCGUCUUCCCAGUAAGUUAUUCAUGCGCACAUCUACAUAUCCUUGCGACUUUACUAGACUUACUUUUUAUGCAUCUCUCUUAUAUUGUGAUAGAGAUUCUCUUUGUUCACUGGAAUCCAUUUCUCAUCUUGUACUGAAUUUCUCAAUCUUCUUCCUCCAGCUCUGCCUUUAGAGAGCAGAAGAAAUAUCAGAAGGAAUUCUCAGACUGGUGUGGUGAGUGUCAACGUGAGAAGAAAGAAAGGCAGCGUCAGUCUGUUGCUGCCAUUAAACAGGUAUAUAUACAACACCUAAUAGUUAGACAAUUAAUAUAGGGAAGAUCUUGAAUCAUUGUUGGUUUUGUUUGUUUUUACUUUCUUUUUUUUCUCAAGGCAUUACAGGAAGGAAGGAGAAACUGCGGCUUGAAAGAUUUUAUGCAGCUUUGUUUGUAAUGAAGUUGUGACGUAGCACAAGUCUAAUCUUUGAGAUGGGACAGCAUUGUUUUGUUGGUAAACUACAAAAGAGUGAAGCAUGUUGCUUGUUUUUUCAGAGCUGUACACUCGAGUCGUUUUAUGUAGUUGCAAUCAAAUCCACAUUUGUUGGUGAUACCAACUUUUUUUCAUAGUUGAACCAUAUUCAAUUCAAGUAUAAAUAUCAAUUGUUUGUAAUCAUUAUGGUUGAUGUUUUACAUCUGGUGCUUAUUGGCAAUUGUGACUACAAGAACUUUCAAAAGAAAUUCUGUUGCUUAAAAUUGUCAAGUAGCAUCUCUGGAUUCUAUCACUUGUAGAAGCAGCAUGAAGGAUACGGCAUUGGGGAGAUACAGCUAUUAAGGGGAAGAAAAUUUCCUCUCUUUUUUCAUGACUAUUCAAUUCAAGUAUUUCCAUUUCCGAGCACUCUGCUACGAAGUUUUCACCAAAUUCAAAGUCGUGCUUAAUCUCCAGCAUAAAGUUUACAGUCUUGGAUAGAUAUCUCACAUAACAACAUUAUUCCAGCUAAUGUGGUAUUAUGAUGACCUGUGCAUUAGAUGCACCAAACAAUUAUAGGUAGCACCUACUCAAUCGGUUUUCUUUUCCUCCCAAGAACAGAGGCCUUUAGAAAUCUGGGCCCACCCAUCCUCCACUUCUUAAAUGCUGCAGCCGAGGACUGAGCUGCCUCGUACACUUCAAAUGAAGAAACAUAAAAUUAGUAAUCACCCUUCUAUUAUAAAGAUCAGAUCGGAAUAUUAACGGAUAAAACAAGUUGAGAGAUCUUACAUUUAAUUUCUUCUUCCGUUAGAAGGGUCAAGAAUUUUGGAGCCACUGCAAAUGCUGUAGUAUGAGCCUUGAUCAAGACUUCCUUGUACCUGGUUCGGAAUGCAAUCAAAAGGACAAGACCAAUGGUUUUGUCACCAACCCUAUCCAUUGGGGAAAAAAAAAAAGAAGAAGCUCCGUCAGAAACCACUCUCAUCUGAGAAACAAACAUUGGCAACCAAAAGUUAGACAAUGACAUUUUCACAACCAACCCUUUGUUAUUUAAUAAAGAAAACAAUACAAAAUAUUAGAUGAAUGCAAAAUGCUUCAACAGAAUAAAAAAUAAAAUAAUGUAGUCAUUUUUUUUCUUUUCUUAUGCCACCUAAAUGUAUUGAAUGAAAAAACUCCUAGUUGAGAUUUAAGAGUAUCCUCCAUUCCUCCUACAACAUUUCACCUUAACCAUCUCAAUUGCUUCUACUUUAAAGUAAUAUAUCUAAAUAUUACUCAGGAAGCAUUUUGUUAUGAUACCAAAGUCCAGGCAAAUUAAGUCCAAAGUUACUCGGCUGUAAAUUAAGUUUCGCACUCCUAUUAACUAUUGGCAUUAGAUGCACGACAUGUAUUUUAUCCAUUCAAGGGGUGAGGAAGAUACAACUAGGGGUGAUCAUUAACAGGGGUAAAAGAAAGGAUGCCAAUGAAUAUAUUAGUUUCUUUUUUCCUUUUAUGACAAGCAAAGAGUUAUAUUAUUUGCUUCUUUCAGAUUGUUUCUCCAGUUAGUAUGUCUGUAUGUGAAAUUCAAUCACAUGAAUCUAACAAUUAGAACUCACGCUUAAAUACCAAGUCAUUACUUCAAUAUCCUUUUUGUGACCCAUAUACAUCUCAACAAAGAGUUUCUACCCAUGAAAAAAUGACAAGUGAUUUAAAAUUUUAUAACUUGUGACGUUACAUUUACUGAAUCAGAAAACACUGCCUCAGUAGCCUUUACAAAAGACACUUUGCAGACUUGGCCGAGAAACUUUUCUACCCGUUAUAAUGCAAAAAAUGACCAGUUUUUACCUAAACUCAAGUAGGACUUCUCCAAAAAGAUACCCGGAACUCAACUCCGCCUUUUAUCCCAACAUAGUUGGGGUAGGCUGAAAACGAAUCCAGAUGAAAAUGUAAACAUGCAAAGAAAAGGAGAAAUCCAGAACCCCACAUAUUCCAACAAAUAACAAGAAAGCCUAUGGUACCAAAAUAUCUAAUAUGACAACAGAUAAGUAGCAUCCAAUGAUAUGGUUUAGCUAUUUUCUAAAAUUAUCCUAACAUACCAACAAGCGUAUUUGCGACCACUAUAUAAUAGCGACCGCAUUCGGUCGCGGAUACUUCCACAUCAUUUAAAAUCAGCGACCGCAUGCGGUCGCGGAUGUAUUUCAAUAAACCAGUAUCAGUUCGUCACUGUCAAUCCAGAACAGAAGAAAAAAAGAGGGAGAAAAGAAGAGGGAGAAGAGGAAGGAGGGGGAGAAGAGAAGAGGGAGGAAGACUGACGCCGCUGCCGCCGACGCCUUCACCACCGCCGGUAACCCAGAUUCUUCACCAAAUGUCUCUAAAUAAGCACAAAUCUGUUUGUUUGUUUUGUUUUUGCUAUUUUUUUCUAUCAAUAGUUUAAGCUAAUAAUCUAAUAAGCACAAAUCUGUUUUUUUUUUUUUUGAAUCAAUAGUUUAAGCUAAUAAUCUAAUAUAUUAAUAAGGAAAAUAAUAAAAGAAUAUUUCUCUGCUAGAUGAGCUCUUCAUCCCAUUUUAUAUGUCCUAUUUUUGGUUUUGUGUAUUCUAAUAUGUUUGUUACUUUAAAAAAUCAAUGCAAGACUAUAUCACCCUUUUACAAACUAGAGAAUGAAACUUGCGAGUCCCAUCAUGUCUUACACCUAUGAAAAAGGAUAUUUAUAGAAUGCGUUGGUCAAAUUUACUUUUUCUUAAACUAUGUGACAAUUUGACUUUGGCUCAAAAAAUGGGACAGAUGGAGUAUGGCAAGAGUCCUAUUAGGAGAUUCUCAAACAAUUGGAAUUCUCUUGCAAAUUAUAUAAUUUUAAAAAGUUGUUUUCAAGUUUUCCACCUUUUAUCUUGUUCAAUUGCUAGAGAUGAGAACUAUAUGAAUGACAUUCAUAUACUAAUCUAAUAAAAGAGUGUUGAACUAUAUGAAUAUAACAUUACUAUUGAAUAUAUUGUUGUUGAAAUUUAGAUAAAUUGUUGUUGAUAUUGCUGAAAUUGGGACAAUUUUUGGGUUUCUUAUUGUUGUUACUAAUAUUGGAUUCUCCUAAAUUAUGCCCUGAAAUUGGUCAAGUAUGCAUGCCCUCGUGCAUGUGGAUAGUCCAUAUUAUAGGGUAGACUCUGCCGAAUUUUUUUCAUAUAUAAGUCAAAUGGCUAUAUAACUUGAACAUUAGGGCUUAACCCAAAACCUUGGUUGCAAUAUAUGAUCUUACUUAUACCAAUCCAAUAACUUGAACAUGAGUAUGACAUAAAACAUAACUAGGAAUUAAGUUUAUCCAUAAUUCAAUCAAGAAGAAGGUUCAAGAGAUUCUUAUACAUUCUUGUUGCUCUUAUAUGCCUACAAAUAGUCAAGUAUGCAUGUCCUCGUGCAUGUGGAUAGUCCAUAUUAUAAGGGAGACUGUCGAAAUUUUUUCAUUGGUCGGGUAAUUUAGACUUGUCCCAAUGCAUAUGCAGAGCAUGCAUGAUGCAAUGAUUCAUAUUUUACACCUAGGAAUCUAUUGUCUUUAGGUUGUUUUGGCAUUUAUCCUUGUUCAAUUCCCGAAUAAUCAUAUAUGAUGCACACUCAUGUUAUAUAUGUACAUAUACAUCUAUAUGUAUUUAUAAGCAUCAUAAAUGGGAUNNNNNNNNNNNNNNNNNNNNNNNNNNNNNNNNNNNNNNNNNNNNNNNNNNNNNNNNNNNNNNNNNNNNNNNNNNNNNNNNNNNNNNNNNNNNNNNNNNNNNNNNNNNNNNNNNNNNNNNNNNNNNNNNNNNNNNNNNNNNNNNNNNNNNNNNNNNNNNNNNNNNNNNNNNNNNNNNNNNNNNNNNNNNNNNNNNNNNNNNNNNNNNNNNNNNNNNNNNNNNNNNNNNNNNNNNNNNNNNNNNNNNNNNNNNNNNNNNNNNNNNNNNNNNNNNNNNNNNNNNNNNNNNNNNNNNNNUUUGCAGUUGCGACAUUACUUAACAUCAAGGCUGACCACAACAUGAGCCAUGAAUGUUUUGAGUCGCUCUUGACGGCCAUUAAGAGUAUGUUGCCUGACGGUGAGAAAUUACCUGGUAACUAUUACUUUUGUAAGAAAAUAGUGAAGAAGUUGGGUCUUGGAUACCAAAAGAUCGAUGCAUGUCCCAACGAUUGCAUGUUGUUUUAUAAGGAAAAUGAUUAAAUGACAAGGUGCACGUUUUGCAGUCAUGAUCGGUUUAGGCCUAAUAAAGAGGGUGUGACUACAAAAAAAUCAAGUAUACCGUUUAAGAUUCUAAGGUAUUUUCCAAUAACACAUCGGUUAAAAAGAUUGUACAUGUCUUCAAGAACAGCUAAACAUAUGAGUUGGCAUGCGAAAUCUCUAGCUAAAGAUGGAGAACUAAAUCAUCCCGCAGAUGGGCAGGCUUGGAAAGAUUUUAACUUACGACAUCCUGGGUUUGCAUUGGAGCCUAGAAAUGUGAGGCUUGGAUUGUCCACCGAUGGUUUCAAUCCGUUUGGCCACUCAGCUGUUCCGUAUUCAUGUUGGCCUGUGAUUGUUACUCCGUACAACUUGCCUCCUUGGAUGUGUAUGAAACAGCCAUACUUGUUUCUUUCACUCGUGGUUCCUGGUCCUAAGAGUCCUGAAAAGAACUUAGAUGUUUACUUGAGACCUCUUAUAGACAAGUUGAAGGUAUUGUGGGAGGAUGGAGUACAGACUUGGGAUGUUGCAACGAAAAUAAAUUUCAACCUUAGGGUAGCGGUUAUGUGGACUAUAAGUGACUUCCCAGCUUAUGGUAUGUUAGCUGGAUGGAGUACACACGGGAAGUUGGCUUGUCUGUAUUGUAUGGAGCAUACAAAGUCUUUCAAUCUAUCAAAAGGUCGAAAGCCUUGCUGGUUUGACUGUCAUCGUCGGUUCUUGCCGGUAGAUCACUCGUUUUGAAGAAAUAAAGAACACUUUAGGAAAGGAAAAGUAGACAAUGAUAUGCCUGCACCGCGAUUGUCGGGAACGGAGAUGCGAGAUUGUGUGAUGAGAUUGCCGGUUAUCCCAUUUGGUAAGAUUGAUGCCACAAACAUAAUCAAUGGGUUUGGAGAAUCUCAUAACUGGGUUCGGAGAAGCAUCUUUUGGAAAUUGCCUUAUUGGUCUACAAAUUUGAUUCGUCAUAAUUUAAAUGUGAUGCAUAUUGAGAAGAAUAUGUUUGACAAUGUGUUUAACACCGUGAUGAAUGUUACGGGGAAGACAAAAGAUAAUGAUAAGGCACGUUUGGACAUGAAAGAUAUUUGUAAGCGUCCUGGAUUAGAACUUUAUGAAUAUCCUAAUGGUAAGAUUAUUAAACCGCAUGCAAGGUACACAUUGUCCAAAAAGUAAGUUGAAGAUGUGUGCACAUGGGUUAAGUCUCUGAAGCUACCAGAUGGAUAUGCGUCAAACAUUGCAAGGUGUGUUACGGGUGAGAAAUUGCAAGGGAUGAAGAGUCAUGACUGUCAUGUGUUCAUGGAGAAACUCAUGCCUAUAGCAUUUCGGGAUCAGCUUGAUAAACCAAUAUGGGAUGCUUUGACGGAUCUUAGUCGUUUCUUCAAAGACUUAUGUUCAAAAUCAUUAAAUGAAAAGAACAUGUCUGUACUUGAGAAGAACAUCAUAGAGAUCACGUGUAAACUACAAAAAAUAUUCCCACCUGGUUUUUUUGAUUCCAUGGAGCAUUUGCAAAUCCAUCUUCCCUAUGAAGCUCGUGUUGGGGGUCUAGUUCAAUAUAAAUGGAUGUACCCUUUCAAGAGGGUGAUGGGAAACCUUAAGAGGAAGGUGAAGAAUAGAGCUUAUGUCGAGGGGUCGAUAUGUGAGGCAUACAGUUUCGAUGAGAUAUCUACGUUUGUCUCAGAUUAUUUUCCGGACGAAGUCUUGACAAAGGCCAAUCGAGUAUCGAGACAUAAUGAUGGGGGAAAUGUUGAACUAAAUGGUCGGCUCUUUAUAUUUGGUCUAUCGGGUCGCGCUUAUGGAAAAGGGAAGCGCAUAUUCCUCUCUGAGCAAGAAUUACAUGCUGCACAUACUUACAUUCUUCUCAAUUGCGAUGAGAUUGACGAAUUUGUGAGGUACACAUUUAUUUUCCAAUAAUUUAUCUUGUAAGUUGAAAAUGUAUUCCAAUAUGUUAAUGUUAAUAACAUGGUAUAGAUUGUACGAUGACGAGUUAAAAGUGAAGCAUCCUGACAUAACUGAUAAAGAUAUUCAAAUCAAUCGUGAUAACAAAUUUGCACUUUGGCUAAAGGACAAAAUAAGUUCAACUAUUGCAUAACAUGGCAUACACUCCAUAUUAACUAUGACUUCAUUUAAUAAGAUGGAGUUUUUGUAGGCUUUGACUGAGGGAUCAAUUAUUCCGGCUAAUGUACAAGUCCUAGCUAUGGGACCAGACAGGGACCAAGUCAGCCGCAAUGGUUACAAAAUAAAUGGUUGUGAAUUUCAUACAAAGGCAUAUGGGCGCGGUAAAAGAACAACGAACUAUGGAGUGUUUGUCCAAGGAGAUUGUUACAAUGAGCUUGGUCGUGCCUUUUAUGGGGAGUUGGAAGAAAUCGUAGAGUUGUCGUACAAGGGCACAUACGGGGGUCAUAUUAACUUAUUCAAGUGUCGUUGGUUUGAUUCAGAAAAAGGGAUACGUGUUGACAGACAUGGAAUCAUCGAUAUUGACCUCCAUAGGUCGGCUUACUCCAACAAACCGUUUGUUUUACCAACUCAAACAGUACAAGUAUACUACACUCCUAGUCCUGUUAGGAAAAGGGAUAGACCGUCUACAGAUUGACAAGUUGUAAUUUAUACUCAUACGCGCAGUCGUGUCCAAGUAGUAGACGAGAAUUUCUACCAAGAGGAGAUGCUUCACAGACCUCCUAUAAUAAAUAUAGAGGACAACAAUGAUGUAAUCCAGUUAUAGGGUGGAGAUGAACCUGCUGAAUUGGAUCCCGAGACAGUUAUUGUGCCCGAUGACAGUGAUACUGAGGAAGAGUUAUUAACUGACACUGACACAGAAUCUGAAGAAGAAUAUGGUUAUGAAUCUCCGACACUUGUACAAAAUGAUUCUGACUCAGACAACGAUUUUCAUUAAAAUGUAUGUUUAUAUAGUUCUAAUUGUAAACAUGAUAAUUACAUAUAUGAAUGUUCUUUAUAUCCUUAACAUGUUUAUGUACCUUUCAUUUAUAGUUGUCUAUGUUAACUAUUUCAUACAAUUAAUUGUCAUUACUUACAUUCUUAUAUAAAAUGUAUGUUUACAUAUAAUUACAUAUGUACAUGUUCUCAUACUAACAUCCUAAAUUUUUUAUUUAUAGAUGUCUUCUGAACCUGCAGCACGAAAUCGCGGGUUAGGUCGGGGCCCUAAUCAUGUGCCGAAGGCCUCGGCUAAUCCGAAUGAUCGCAUUCUUAUACAGAUACGUCCACUUUCAGAAAGCACGUAAGUUAAACAUCGUGUAUAUAUAAGGGUUUAAUAUUUUCAUUAUUAUAAAUAUAUAUGACUAUAAAUUAUUGUAUAUUGUAGUGAUUUUCAAGAUAGUAAAAUUGUGAAGUGCAUUUCACAAUUAUGCUUACAAAAUUGGACUACGCCAGUGAUUACAUGGGCGAGCACACCUCUCGCCCAUAAGGAUGCAGUUUGGGGUGAAUUUCAGGUAUAUUUUUUUAUCACUCUGAUAGAUAAUACAUAGUUAAUCAAAUAAUAUUGUUUAGUAAUGUUGGAUUAUGGUAAUAUAAUAUAACCGUUUUAAUGUUAUUGUUGUUUUAUUUGCAGAAGCGGUAUAGAUGGGACGACGCACAGGCAUCAGUUAUUUAGACACUGUUCUGGCAAAAGUGCGCCGUCCGAACUAAAGAUAAUCUGAACAAGGAACGACAAAAAGCCCUGCACAAUGCUGAGAUUGACCAUCCAGGACAGGGUGAGCAGUAUAUGCAUGAGCAUAGUCCCUGGUUGUAAGACCCUAAAUUAUUAUUAAAUAAAAAUGAAAUUUCUUUUAUUUAUUAUUUUAAAAUAGUAAGGGUUGAUUUGAUUAAUGUGGUAAGUUAUGGGUAAAAUGCGCAAUUAUUUCAAACAAGCAAGUGGUUUUAAAAUAUUCAUUGUUGACGGGGAAUAUUCGUUUGGUCGUGGAAUAUUCGUACUGUCGGGGAAUAUUCAUACGACGGCGCAGCCUUGUGUGGGCCCCAUAACGGAAACGAUUGGAUGAAGAAAACGACAAGAAUAAGUUGGUUAUAAAUAACGGCGUAGUUGUUACUGUUAAUACUGUUGGAAUACCCGGUGGUUAAAACACAGUAAUACGCGUUGUUGCACAGUAGCACACGGUAUUGCACCAAUUAUUGAUUCUUACGUAAGAAGGCACUACUCAAUAAUGGUUACAGUAAUUACUGUUCAGUAUUUUAUUUUAUUGAUUCAAUAAUUGCUGCGUUGAUAUUUUAUAUUGCUGUUGUUUCAAUAAUUGUCAUUACACAGUAUUUUUCAUUAUCGAAGCAAUAAUUCAUAUUAUCUGAAUAAUAUUAUUAGAUAACAUUAUUGGCAAUGUCUAGAAAGUUCUGUCUAAGGAGAGGUUUGGUCACCUAAUUGCGCGCCAGUAAGGAGAAAUUCUUAUUGGAAAGCCCCCUCUUUCCUGGGAACUGCCUGGUUGUCAGUAUUGUGAUUCUGUAAUAUUAUUUGUGAAUAAUUAAUUAUUGAUUUAUAUGAUGAGGAAAAUAUUGAUUUUAUGUGGAUAUAGAUGGAGAAAAUUUUUAAUGUGACAAUUGUUGAAAAUUAAUAUUUUAUCUUUUUCUGAUAAAAUAAUUCAUUUAAAUAUAUUAUUUUAAUAAUAUAUUAACGGUGAUAUUUUUACAAUGAAUGUGGGAUAUAUGAGUAUAUGAGGAGGAAGAGUAUUUUUGUGGCAUUAAAUGAUUAACACAUGUUUUGUGUGUCGGUGGACCCCAAUUAUUGACCGAAAUUUGAUUAUAGCUUGUAAAAUCGUCCGUUUGUGAAUUUCGGUCAAUUUCUGUUUGAAAUUUGAAAAAACUUUCUUCUGCAAAGUUGUAGAGAAUUGAAUUUCCUAUAAAAAUUGGCGAGAUUCGAAUUUUCUGACAAAAGGGAUAUUUGUUAUGAAUUAUUGAAGUUCCGAAGUUCUGAAAUAAUUGAUUUUUGGGAGUUUUAGUUGAUUAUUUUGAGAAAAACGUUUUUUGUGCAAUUAGUGGGCUCACAUGUGUUAUAAAUGAUCUGAAUUCAGAUUUUCAAAGGUGGGCUUGACAAAAAUUUAAGUAUAUUAUUAUUAUUAUAUUAAAUUUUCUACUUUGGUGUUCUAAGCAUUUUCCUAUAAAUAGGGAGCUUAGGUUAGAAUUGAAAAUCACACCAGAAACUGAAGUUUUCUCUCUAUUUCUCUCUCUAUAUAUCAAGUAUAUUCUUGUGAGUAUACUUUGAGUGUUGCUAUACGGUGCAAGUUCAAGUCGUAGCCUAUAUCCGGUGUUUCAACUAGAAGUACUGUCUUUCGAGGUAAGGGAUGUUAUUUUCUUCAUAUAUGAUAUUAUUUCUUCAAUAUCAUUAUGCCGAAAUAUUGGUUGGAAAUUUUUAUCAAAUUUAAAACUUUUUCAUGUCGGGGUUACUAUUCAUGAGUUACUAUUCACGAGUUACUAUUCACGAGUUACUAUUCACGAGUACUAUUAUGAAUAUGGUUGAUUUUAUUAUGAAUAUCUUUGGCCUGUAGUGCAAAGAUGGUGGAUUUUCUUAUGAAUAUCUUUGGCCCGUAAUGCAAAGAUGAACAAGUGUUGAGAUGAACAUGACCAACUGAUGAAUAUCUUUAGCCUGUAGUGCAAAGAUGAAUAUUUGAUUCAAGAUGAAUAUUGAUUGAUGUUACAGGGAUAAAAUAAUGAUGAUGGACUGUUAAAUUCAUAGAUAUUAGUAGAUUUCAUUCUCUACGUAACUCUUUUAUGAAUUAUUAUUUUCGCUGCGAAUAUUGAUCUGAAACUUGUUGUCUAUUGUAUUCUAUCAGAUUUUUCCCUGUUGAAGACUAACGAUAAUUUGUUGUACAUUAUCUUAGUCAUAACAUUAUUUACUGGGCUAGUUGAGCUCACCCUUUUCUUUUGUUCCAUUUUUCUUCUCAAGAAGCGAGAUUAUAACGGGAACUAGUUGGGGUGUGGAGUGAUGGUUCAAGAUAGUUAUUUUAGUAGUCCUCCCUAUUUUGUAAAUAGUGUAUCAAUAAUGAGGACUUAUUUGAGUGUGGAUAUUGUAUAGAAGACAAUAUUUGUAUUUAAACUCACAGUAUAUAUGUUGUCGUAUUUUGCACGACAAAUGUAUUAAUAAAGUUGUAGUUAUUUCUGUACCAUGUAUUUGGCGACUCAGAAUGGGUUGGUUGGAAUGGACCUAUUUUGGGGGCGUCACACUGGUGGUGCGCACAUCCUAUAUGGGUGCAAAUGUGUGACCAGUGGAGAGCUGAGAGCUGGAUCAAGAGACGCAAGACUGCCGCCUCGAACAGAUCCUCAGGUGUAUCUAAAGGCGAAAAGGCAAAAGGCACGUACAAUGGCGGCAGUAUAUCACAGCUGCAGCAUAUUACUGUUAGGGUACGUUUGUAUAGCAAGCUUAUUGGCUUAGUUAUUUGUUUUUAUGUUUACAGUCAUGUUUCUGGCGCUAAAAUAUCAUAUGUUUACAUAUUAAUAUGAGAACAUGAACUGUAGGAGUCUGAGUCUCAAGGUCAACCUAUCAAUUGGUUGGAUGUGUAUGUGGCCACCCGUGAUGGUCUGCCUGAUGCUGUUCAGAUAGCGGUAAUAAGUUAACUUUAUACUAAUAUAAUGAUUCAUAAAUUGUGACGACCUUUUUAGCAUUUUUUUCAUUUAUUUUUAACUAUUUAAUUGUUGACCUUUUGACAGGACACUUAUAAGGGCUUAAUGAACGAGCGUUAUCCUGAAGGCACCCCGCGUCCGUUGAUUGAUCAAGAAUUAUGGGAGAGGGCGUCCGUCGUGAAGAAAAACUAUGUUUAAUGCCAAGGACAAAAACGACGCCCGACCAUCAGUGGCACAGGAUGCUCUGCUACCCAGUCUAGUCAUCAGGUCAUCCAGCCUAUCUUACACCUGCUGACUGUGUGAGAGCGAUCUGCCAGAAUCGUGAUCUUCUUCGUAUACUGGGCGGGCAUCUGCAUACUCUUAGUCCUGAUGAGUUGGCGGAGACAGUGGCGGCAGCAGCAGCAGCAGCAGCAGCAGCAGCAGCAGCAGCAGCAGCAGCAUCAUCACAGCAUCAGGAUGGCGACCAGGUAUAUAUAUCGAUAUUGUUACUGUUACUGUCUUACUUAUAUGUUUCACUACAUUGUCUAUUGUUUAGCUUUUAAUUCCCAAAUGAUAUAGCAGUAUCAACACAUGUAACAUAUAUGUUUUAUUCUUUUGUUAAUUACAGGGUACUAAUUUGGAUGAUCCAUGAAGAGCUACACCAGUCAUAUAUGUUAGAUUUUUAAAGCCUUGUUAGACUUGUUUUUUAGAUUUUUAAAGCUUUGUACUCUUUUAGAUGGAUUCUUUGGACAAUUGUAUUGGUUUACGAUUAUAUUAUAUGGAUGUUUACGAUUGUAUUGUGUUGGUUUACGAUGUAUGUUUAUCAUAUAGUAGUUAUCAUUGAUGAAUGUUUAUCAUAUAUGGUAGUUAUCAUGGAUGGAUGCUUAUAUAUACUGCUGUGUGCUGGGAUAGAAAGCAGGUACAAAGCAGGUUAUUUUUGGAAAAUCAAUAAAACAAAAAAAAUAUUAAAAAAAUAAUAAUAAGCUCAGCGACCGCAUGCGGUCACUAACACUGAACUACGGUCGCUGAUAGAUACUUUGAAACUAGCGACUGUUUCGGUCGCUAUUGACGGUCGCUGACACGUGUGACACAUCACAGCUGACAAAUGACUCAGCAUGAGUCAUAAUAGCGACGGAUUCGGUCGCUAACUGCGGUCGCUGCCCUUUCGGUCGCUAUUGUUGGUCGCUGACGUCCAUCCAGCGACCAGAUUAUCUGCGACUACUAUCAGCGACCGCAGUCGGUUGCGGAUACUCAUCUACGACCGAAUGCGGUCGCUGAUAAGCCUUUUUGUUGUAGUGGUGGUAUUAAUAUUAGGUUAAAUUAAUUGAUUUUUUGUGAUUGUAUUUAUGAUUUGAUAGGAGCCUGAAUUUUUACGAAUGGAUGCUGAGAUAGUUCAAACGCAUAUGCAAGAGGUGGUUGUUGCCAAUUAUCGUGUUUUCAUUUUCGCAGCUGAUGCAUUUCUUUUCAUUCGUUAGAAAUUUUCUUCUAUUAAUAAACAUAUGAGAUCAUAGUACCCAAAAUAUUUUUAUUUUUUUACUUUCACUUUAAAGUUUAUUAUUAUUUUUUUGCCACAUAAGUAAUAUAUUUGAUUUUUGAAUUUCUUUUUCAGAGCCAUGCACGUAGAUAAAAAAUUAAUGUAUGAUUAAAUUUUUUUGACAUAAUAACUUAAUUUCAAAAUAAUAAUUAAUUUACUGAGAUAAUUUGAAAAUUUAAAAUUUAAAUAGUGUAAUCAGUAAAAAUGUAUCAACUACAUUAGAUAAUUCAUUAGUUUUGCUAUUGUUUUUAAUAUACAUGUGCAUGAUAGUUGUUAAAAUCGUGGCUAAAAAUAAUAUUUUUGUCAUUAAAUAUAUAUAUCAAGGGAAUUUGGUUUAAAAUGUAAUGAUUCGUGAAUGUUAUUUGAUCAGCGGUUUUGGUAAUGAGAAAUUUGACAUAUAUAUAUAUAUAUAUAUAUAUAUAUAUAUAUAUAUAUAUAUAUAUAUAUAUAUAUAUAUAUAUAUAUAUAUAUANNNNNNNNNNNNNNNNNNNNNNNNNNNNNNNNNNNNNNNNNNNNNNNNNNNNNNNNNNNNNNNNNNNNNNNNNNNNNNNNNNNNNNNNNNNNNNNNNNNNUAUUUUAUACGCACAUACUUAAUUGUUUUCAAAAGAGUUGUUAUGUGUUGUGAAAGUUUUUUAUCAUUAAUACAAUGAAAUUGAGUGAGAUUAUAAGGUUAUAAAUAUUAUUAAUUAUAAUUAACGAAUAAAAUAUCAUUACCCCUUAAAUCUAAGCACGGAAUAGAAGUUAGAAAUAUAUAGGGCGGGGUUGCUCACAUCUUAAUUUUGGAGAAUUCUUUUUGGUUGUUCUGAAAAUAUUAUUAUUUUUUAAUAAAAUUAAGAUAAAAAUGUUAAUAUAUUGAAAUUUCCACCAUGAUUUUGGUUUGUUUGUUUUUUGCACCACAUCAGAUCGAGUUUGAUCAUCUUAUUUAUAAUUAAUUAGUUGAGGCUUAAAGUAAUUAUUGACAAAUCUUUGUCUACCUUGAAAACUUUUUUCUGCAGCCAUGCACCACCACUAAAUGAAUAUCAUCUUUUUAAAAUAUUUUAUUUCCUUGUGAUAAUAAUUUUAAUGUGUUCAUCAUCAUUUCUUAUACUAUAAAAUGUAUUUUCUAGAUCAUGGUCUAAAAUUAAAUAGCAAGUCAAGUGGUACAUUAACAUUGGAGAGAAUAAAUAAUAAAAUUGUCUACCAAGGAAUUAAGUUGUGGUGUCAAUAUAUAUAUAUAUAUAUAUAUAUAUAUAUAUAUAUAUAUAUAUAUAUAUAUAUAUAUUUUGCUGGUGCCCUGCUAAAUAAUUAAGCAAAUGAAUGGCUGCUAAAUAGAUGUGUUACCUGUUUCUGGAUCUCUUACAACCAAUAAUUAAAAGAAUCGAUCACACCUCUUGCCAACUACUUAAUAAUUAAGUUGUUAAUAUACCAUAAUAUUUGCUUACAAUAAUUAAUAAUUCUUCACCUAACAUAUAUAAAGUA
rnacentral:lncRNA from 1 species